CGGGGUGUGGCGCAGUUGGUAGCGCGCUUGCUUUGGGAGCAAGAAGCCCCCAGUUCGAGUCUGGGCACCCCGA
rnacentral:tRNA from 1 species